rnacentral:rRNA from 1 species
CCUACGGGUGGCAGCAGUGGGGAAUAUUGCACAAUGGGGGAAACCCUGAUGCAGCGACGCCGCGUGAGUGAAGAAGUAAUUCGUUAUGUAAAGCUCUAUCAGCAGGGAAGAAAAUGACGGUACCUGAGUAAGUAGCCCCGGCUAACUACGUGCCAGCAGCCGCGGUACUACGUAGGGGGCAAGCGUUAGCCGGAUUUACUGGUUGGAAAGGGAGCGUAGACGGCGGCGCAAGUCUGGAGUGAAAGCCCGUGGCCCAACCCCGGGACUGCUCUGGAAACUGCGGCGCUGGAGUACGGGAGGGGCAGGCGGAAUUCCUGGUGUAGCGGUGAAAUGCGUAGAUAUCAGGAGGAACACCGGCGGCGAAGGCGGCCUGCUGGACCGUGACUGACGUUGAGGCUCGAGAGCGUGGGGAGCAAACAGGAUUAGAUACCCUGGUAGUC